rnacentral:tRNA from 1 species
GGUGAUGUAGCUCAGCGGAAAUCAGAGCAACUGCCUUCGAAGCAGUGGGGCGUGAGUUCGAAUCUCACCAUCACCU